rnacentral:tRNA from 2 species
GUCCCCUUAGUUAAAUGGAUAUAACAUCUCCCUCCUAAGGAGCAGUUGCUGGUUCGAUUCCAGCAGGGGAUA